CUCCCCCUAAUUCCCUCUCUCUUGUGCAGCAGCCCCCAUCCCCUCAACCCUAGCCGCCACCCCCCCUCCCAUCUCCUCCUCUCCAAGUGAUGUCCUUCCUCGCCGGAUCUUCUUCGUGUGGGUGCAAGUUCCGAUUGGAGAAUUGGUGGGAGGAAGGAAGGAGGAAAGGAGGAACCCAAGGUGAUUUUGUGAUUAACUCUUGUUUAUUUGUGCUGCAAUUCAAUCGAUUAGAUGUUUACGUAUGCGAAUUGGUAGAGGUGCUGUCCAGAAAUUUUGUGGGUGCGCGAACAGCAGUAGUUCUAGCAGAUUCUGGGAAUUUUUCGUGGGUAAUUAGUGGGAAUCAGUGGGAGAAUCAUCUAGAGCUUUUUCAUACCUUUCCAAUGAGUACUUAUGCGCUCGAUUCGGAGUUAUAUUUUAGGAGAUAUCGCUGUUUGAAUCCGGGUAUGUUGCUGUCCAAAAAAAAACAGAUUUUGCAGGUGGGCAAACAGCAGUAGUAUUAGCAGUUUCUGGGGAUUUUUCGUGGGAACUUAGUGAUAAUCAAUAUGAGAAUCAUUUAGAGCUUUGUCAUACCUUUCCAACGAGUACUUAUGCACUCGAUUCGGAGUUAUAUUUUAGGAGAUAUUGCUGUUUGAAUCCGGGUAUGUUGCUGUCCAAAAAAAACAGAUUUAUGCAGGUGGGCGAACAACAGUAGUAUUAGCAGUUUCUGGGAAUUUUUCGUGGGAAAUUGGUGAUAAUAAAUAUGAGAAUCAUGUAGAGCCUUGUCAUACCUUUCCAACGAGUACUUAUGCGUUCGAUUCGGAGUUAUAAUUUAGGAGAUAUCGCUGUUUGAAUCCGGUUAUGUUGCUGUCCAAAAACAGAUUGCAGGGUGUAUCUUGUAGACGAGUUUGAGCUAAUUAGAUGCUGGAAUUUAAUUAUCAUUUGAAUAUAAAACUUGUGGGAAAUUUUAUGUAGAUGCUUCCGUAGUUUUUGAUUGAUAUCACUGCUGUUAUAAUUUUAAAGUUAUGAAAUUAUCAAGCAGCACCGCUGCAGUUUGGUGGUGAUGGGGAGAGUUGUCGCUCGCAACGGGUUGGAAUUGUGCGUAGGUGCGGCGUUGUUUAUUAGCGUUUGUUAUGUUGAUUUGUACACUAAGGUGUGUGUCAAAAACAGGUGGUGGACUUCCGGAUCGUACUUAGUACCAUUCCAAAUUCCCGGUGAAGGCAAGUAAAUACAGUGGUGGUUGCUGCCGUUUGGUUUGCAUCCUAUGCCUUGUCAUUGAGUAUGCAUAAGUAUUAAAUGUGUUAAUCAUUGAAUUCUAUGAUGAAGUUUAUUUGUUCGAAAGAAUUAAUUCUCAAUUGUCUAAUAUUGAGGAUGAUCAUGAUUUGGGAAUGAUAUAUGUGGUUGAUUCCCAUCUUAGAUGAAGUUGAAGUAUCUUUUUGAAUCAUGUUGUAUGAAGUGUUGUAGGCAUGUCAUGCACAUCGCAUCAUCCAUAUUGCAUUUUGAAGUUAUGUCGUGAUCUUAUGGUCCGACCGUACCGGUACACUUUUAGCAUCGUACGUUGCCCGAGGAGGGGUACGAUGCGGCUUCAUACCCUUAGAGGUAUGAAGGCAGAAGUCAUCCUUGCAUUUGCAGACAUUUGCACUCAUGAGGUAUAUAUGAAGUGUGACAUUACUAUGUUACUAUUGUGGUUUCUACCUGCGAGGUGUGGUAACUAGGUGUGUUGUACGUUGUAUUCGUGCUGCACCUUCGUAAUAAGAAGGUUGCGAAAUCAAAUGGUGGUAAAACAAUGUUCUUAUGUGGUUAAACAGUUUGUUAUUAUUUUACUUGCUGAGAUGUGUCAUCUCACUCUUGCAUUACUCAAUGCAGGUACUUGAUAUAUGUUGGGAAUGAGGGGAGUAGCAGCACGUCCACUUUCACUCUCAUAUUAAGGCUGCCCAAGCGCAUCCAUGAUUUAAUUAGAAACUUGAUGUCAAAGGAUGUUUUUUUACUAGUCAUGCGCACUGGUUAAUUCAGUUCAUGUCGUAUGUUUAACUUUCCUUUGCUAGCCGUUUAAUAAUACUUAGUAUGUUUUUUGUCAUGAUACAUGUUUAUACACUGUUGCCCCCUCCUUUAUGCUAUUUUGCAAAGGAGAUGCUGUCGAAAUUUUAUAUACGGAUGUCAGAAGUGUAGUUCAGUAGCAUUCCGGGGUGUUUGUGGAUUCCGGGAUGUUACAGUUGGUAUCAGAGGAUAGGCUUUAGAUUCUACGCAAUUUGAAGAUAAAUUUGACACACUUGCACAUAUAGGAAGGGUAUGAGUUCGUAUAUCUUUCAUAUUAGUAUUUUAUUGUAUAGAUGACUAGAAUUCCCUUACUCCAAAUCCCUUUAUGGUUUGAUGGGAUAUGUCGUUAAUGACUUAAUGCUUGAUAUGAUAUGUUACUUCUAUUUAAUAUUGGUUUCUUGAUGUGGUUGUUGCUGAAGUUAUUAUGCAAGUGAAGCUACUAAUGUACUUGUUUUGUAUACAUAUCGUCAUGAUGUUUUUUAUGCGAUGUUUUUCAAAUCUCUGAGCUAUUACUAUCAUAUAUUUCUAUAUGCUUGACUGUGGAUGUUUUUAUGGAUUUCUUUGGGUUCUAGUAUUUGUAGGACCGAUUGUUUAUUGAGUUUGUGUAUAGUGGGUCUAAUCCGGCUUGGUGUGGUGUGAAAACACGAUAUAAUGUAGUUUUAUCAUGUGGUUGAGUCUGAUUGAAUGUUGGGUUACAACCCAACUUAUCAAUGUAAUAUUUCCAUGGAUUCAAUGCUUUGUGCCUCACCCCUUUGGGCUAAUAUGGCUACUUGCCAACUUGAUCUUAGAGUACAAGAGGUUUGUCUCCAUAGAGCAAAGGCAAUGUUGUAAUGUUUAUGAAACCUUGAGACUGGUAGAACUCAAGUGAAUUUGUAAGAUGACGUGGAUAGAUAAGUUCAACCAUGUUUACAUGAUAGGUUUUCUUAUUGUGUGCAACCUUAGCAAUAAAUAGGGUGAUUUCAAGUGGAUUUUAUGUCUAUAUUAUAGUUGAAGAGGCAUGCAUGUUUUCCUUCCAUGGUUUGUUUCUAUAGCCAUAAAGGUUAUGCAUAUUUUUUUUAGUUGUUGGAGGCUAGUCAUGUGGACGAUAUGGACAACCCAUUUUAUAUAUAUUUGUAAUCGCCGACGAUAUAUGGUAGUUUUAUUUUUUUGAUCUGUUCUCUAUGCAUGCUUGUUGAAUUAUUAUUUGGACCGCUUUAUCUUAAACAAAGUCAAUGCUUAACUGGAAGUUGCUUAUGUUUGUUAGUCAUCUAUCUCUAUAAUUAUGUGGUUGUUGCAUCAGAUGGAGAUUUUUUUUUCAUAUGAAUGAUGGUUUGAUAGAUCAUGUAUGUCUACUAGACUACUACUUUGAAUUCAUCCUAUGACAUCACGAGGUAGAAAUUGUUCAAGUGCAAUAAUAGGAGGUAUUGUUGUAUGUGAGGUUAAUCAAGGUAGUUUGAUUAGGUGGAUUGUCUUAUUGAAGUCCAAUUACUCCUGUUGAGCAUAGUAUCAUGAUAUUAUUUUAGUGUUGAAAGUAAUAUUUAUGAAGCUUUUGCAUGAGUCUGUAUCAAGAAGAUCAUUAGUUUUUCUUGUUGUUAUCCCUCCAUUGCUUUAUGAGUGUUGCACAUUUUAUCUCUUUUGAGAGGAGAAAAAAAAGAUGUUAUAUGUCAUGAGCACCAUUUGCUUCACGUCAACAAAAUAGUUUUGGAGAUUUCUAUUAGUUGGAUUCUAGUGUAAUAACAACCAUGUUUUAUAGUGCUUGAGAUGGGUAUGUCAGGUGUUCCAUACAUUGUCGAUACAUGGAUGUUUGACCUUAGUGGCGUUAACAAACGAGGAUGUUGAAUUUGUUGAUUGUUGUGCUUAGUGUUCUAACCUAUUUGGUAGAGUUUUAUUUAAAGACUUUGUGGAGUUGCAUCCCAAUUUGGUAGUGGAAAAUCCUAGUGUUGAUUGCACCUGCCAGUGCCUUGGGUUUCAUUUUAUAUUGUUUUUUAUUGUUGUUAAUGUGUUGUUUGGUUUUGGGAGGCAUUUUAAAUUAGUUGGAUGCUGAAUCAGGCUUCACUUGUCGAGAAUGUUUUGUAGUAUGUUUUUUCAUCUUUCCAUAGGAUGCUUAAUCACCCGGUUUGGUCCAAACAUUUGAGAGUUAUGGGUUUCCUAAAACAUCCUUAUUGGUGUCUCUAGCAGAAUGAGUCUUUAAUUUUGAACGGAAGAGUAGACAUUGAAGACAAUAUAAUUUGGUCUUUGUUGGAUUAUGAAAGUUUUAGCAAUUUUAUGAUCUUUCCAACGAGUAUUGGUUUGUAAUUCUCAUUGCAUAUAAUUGGAGUUAGGUUGCUCUGAAGUUGUUGCACCGUUGUGUCUGAACUUUAGUUGUCGUUAUAACCACCAAUAAAUCGACCACGUUUUGAUAGUUUCAUAGCCCAAAGUUGGGAAUUCUCUUUAAGCAAAACUUUUAGUUCUUCUCAGUACCUUUUAAAUGGGCAUUUACUUGUAAUUGUCUGUUAAAUAGAUUGGGAGAGGUGGUUGUCCGAUUAUAAGUCGAAUCUCUAAUGUGCAGUAUCUCAGGCUGAGUUUAGCUGUAGGUCAUGCAUAGUUGAGGGCUAUAAAGAUAAAUUUGGGUGCAACUUUAUUGCAAAAGUCGUGGACAAUUUUCAAAACUUUUCCAACGCGUGUUCGUUGUAGUUUAAGUUGAGUAUAGCAGGAGUUAUAGGUUUUUGAAUUUUAGUUGUCCAUUGUUUCAAUCCUACCAGUUUUGCAACAAAAGUGUUGCAUUGUUUUAUCGGUUUGGAAACCAAAUUCGAGACACUCAUUAUAAUAAAAGUUUUAGGGAAUGUUAUAAUCUUUUCAAUGAGUUUAUAUUUGCAAAAUUUUGUUAGCUGUAGGGAGUUAUGAUAUAGUGUAUAGAAUGUGCUUGGAUAAAUAUGUGGGCAGGCAUAACAUGCUUAAAUUGAUUCUUGUUUGCAUGAUGUGAGAUUAGGCUUAAAUGAUUUAAAAGGUUAUCAUAUUGCUUCUAUACUUAUAUUUGUUCUAAGUGUCUCGUAAUGAAGAACCUAAAGUUAUUAGUCUUUCGAUGAACGCUUUAUCUUAGAAGAGUAAUGAACCUCAUAAAAUCUAUUGCUUGUUGUUGGGACUGCAUGACCAGUUUUAGUUAUGCAGCUAGUUCAAUGAAGUAAACCAUCUUUUCUGUAGAGAUGUUAUAUAUAAAAGUUGUAGCCAACUUCUUUAUCUUAUUUGUGUAAAAAUUUCAUGACCAUAGGUCUAGUAGUUUGGGAGUUAUGAUUUUCUCAAGUCCAGUCUUGGAAUCUGUCCAGAUUUUGUACAGACUUCGAAACUGACCUCGUUUGCCCAAUUUAAACUUCGAAUAAGUUCUUAUAAAUUAUAAAUAAGUUGUAGUACUUUUCUUAAUCUUUUCAACAAAUUUUGGAUCACCUUUUUUGGUGAUCUAUAAGUUAAGUUACAGCUGUUUUAAGUGUGAUCUUUGAAUCUGUCCAAAUUUGGACAGCAGAGCCUUUCUCAUGUCUUUUGACCUUGAUAUGCAUUGAAUUAACAUGAUAUGUUAUAAAUGAAUUAUAGACAAUUCUAUUAGAUUUCUAAAAAGUCUAGGAGCACCUGAAUUGGAUGACUGAGACUCCAAUUAGGGAUUUUUUUGAAUUGAGUAGUUGAAUUCUGUCCAAGUCUGGACAGAAUUUACGUUUAGCAUUGUUUGACCUUUCUAUGUGUCAAAUCUUGUUGUGAUGAUAAUACCAAGGGUAUAGUGGACUUUAUAAGAUUUCCAUAAAGUCUUAGUCUACUAUUUUGGAUGCAUAUUUUGUGAGUUAUGAGCAAAACAAUUAACCGCUGUGCUGCUGUCCAGAAAUAUGCAAGCAUUAAGUUGCUCUCUUGAAGUUGCUCUUGUUUGGCUAAGUUUGGUUUAGGCUAUAGGAACACUAUAUGCAUUGCAUUCAUAUAUACAUUCCUUGAAGUACUUGCAUAUGUCAAUGUUGAUUUGGUGAGAGGAAAGCUUUGUCCGAGGUAUAUAGGACUGUCUACUAUCUUAGCCGAGUUGGCAGCUGGGCUUAGCACAUACAAUUGUCGGAAUCUAUAAUCAUAGUACACCAUGUAUUCCAUGUCUUUAUGUUGAGGAAGUAUUUGAGGAAUCCAGACCAUCAAAUCGAGCUAGAGUCGAUUCCCUGUGUAGCAAGACCAGACUCUAGAGUGUCGUCUGCUGCGUAUCUUAGAAUCCUAGGAGCUUGAGGAGCUGAUGUGGCAGAAGUACCCGAACUUUUCAUUAUGUGUGAGUGUUGUUGAUUCAUUAAUCUUGCUUUUGUCGUUCCGAUAAAAGCGUCAGAAUUCGAGGACGAAUUCUUUUUAAGGGGGGUAGAGUGUGAUACCCAAUUUGCAAAGAAGAGAAGUUGGAGUUUAUUCUUUCUUGUUUUUUUUGCUUCUCGUUUGGGUAGUGCACUUUUGGAGUUUGGAAUUGUUGGGUAGCAUUCGCUAGUAAAACAAUAGAAUUUUGGUUAGACUUGUGCGCCGGGGUCGGGAGUUGACGCGUGAGCGAGUUGGGCCGUGGUUCUUGAUCCGGCCCACUAACCCCCCCUAACCCUAGCCGCCCCUUCCCCUAAUUCCCUUCCCCUUGUGCAGCCGCCCCCCCCUCUCUAGCCUUUGGCCGCCAUCCCCUCCCCCUAAUUCCCUCUCUCUUGUGCAGCAGCCCCCAUCCCCUCAACCCUAGCCGCCACCCCCCCCUCCCAUCUCCUCCUCUCCAAGUGAUGUCCUUCCUCGCCGGAUCUUCUUCGUGUGGGUGCAAGUUCCGAUUGGAGAAUUGGUGGGAGGAAGGAAGGAGGAAAGGAGGAACCCAAGGUGAUUUUGUGAUUAACUCUUGUUUAUUUGUGCUGCAAUUCAAUCGAUUAGAUGUUUACGUAUGCGAAUUGGUAGAGGUGCUGUCCAGAAAUUUUGUGGGUGCGCGAACAGCAGUAGUUCUAGCAGAUUCUGGGAAUUUUUCGUGGGUAAUUAGUGGGAAUCAGUGGGAGAAUCAUCUAGAGCUUUUUCAUACCUUUCCAAUGAGUACUUAUGCGCUCGAUUCGGAGUUAUAUUUUAGGAGAUAUCGCUGUUUGAUUCCGGGUAUGUUGCUGUCCAAAAAAAAAAACAGAUUUUGCAGGUGGGCAAACAGCAGUAGUAUUAGCAGUUUCUGGGGAUUUUUCGUGGGAACUUAGUGAUAAUCAAUAUGAGAAUCAUUUAGAGCUUUGUCAUACCUUUCCAACGAGUACUUAUGCACUCGAUUCGGAGUUAUAUUUUAGGAGAUAUUGCUGUUUGAAUCCGGGUAUGUUGCUGUCAAAAAAAAACAGAUUUAUGCAGGUGGGCGAACAGCAGUAGUAUUAGCAGUUUCUGGGAAUUUUUCGUGGGAAAUUGGUGAUAAUCAAUAUGAGAAUCAUGUAGAGCCUUGUCAUACCUUUCCAACGAGUACUUAUGCGUUUGAUUCGGAGUUAUAAUUUAGGAGAUAUCGCUGUUUGAAUCCGGUUAUGUUGCUGUCCAAAAACAGAUUGCAGGGUGUAUCUUGUAGACGAGUUUGGGCUAAUUAGAUGCUGGAAUUUAAUUAUCAUUUGAAUAUAAAACUUGUGAGAAAUUUUAUGUAGAUGCUUCCGUAGUUUUUGAUUGAUAUCACUGCUGUUAUAAUUUUAAAGUUAUGAAAUUAUCAAGCAGCACCGCUGCAGUUUGGUGGUGAUGGGGAGAGUUGUCGCUCGCAACGGGUUGGAAUUGUGCGUAGGUGCGGCGUUGUUUAUUAGCGUUUGUUAUGUUGAUUUGUACACUAAGGUGUGUGUCAAAAACAGGUGGUGGACUUCCGGAUCGUACUUAGUACCAUUCCAAAUUCCCGGUGAAGG
rnacentral:lncRNA from 1 species